GGGCUUUAGCUCAAUGACAGAGCAUCUGAUUUGCAUGCAGAGGGUCCCAGGUUCAAUCCCUAACAUCUUCA